CGCACGCUGGCGGCGUGCUUCCCACAUGCAAGUCGCACGGAAAGGCCCUGCUUGCAGGGUACUCGAGUGGCGAACGGGUGAGUAACACGUGGGUGAUCUGCCCUGCACUUCGGGAUAAGCCUGGGAAACUGGGUCUAAUACCGGAUAGGAGCCAUUUUUAGUGUGAUGGUUGGAAAGUUUUUUCGGUGUAGGAUGAGCUCGCGGCCUAUCAGCUUGUUGGUGGGGUAAUGGCCUACCAAGGCGGCGACGGGUAGCCGGCCCGAGAGGGUGGACGGCCACAUUGGGACUGAGAUACGGCCCAGACUCCUACGGGAAGCAGCAGUGGGGAAUAUUGCACAAGGGGCGCAAGCCUGAUGCAGCGACGCCGCGUGGGGGAGGACGGCCUUCGGGUUGUAAACUCCUUUCGCUAGGGACGAAGCUUUUUGUGACGGUACCUAGAUAAGAAGCACCGGCUAACUACGUG
rnacentral:rRNA from 1 species